UCCAUUGGUUAUUCUAUCACACUACCAUUGCGUUAUAUAGAGAUCCCACCACUUUCUGCUCUCCAUCACGUAUUUUCGCAUUUCAUGAUGUGCACAACAACCUUGAGGUCUCACUGCGUCUACAGCCUCGCAUUACCGUGGAGAGACGGUCCACCUCUAGCGUUCACGAAAUUUGUUAUCCAUCGCGAUAUUACCAGGGGCACACACCUUCAUUUGGCACAUCAAGUACAUUCAUCUCGUGCCUUCUCUCUAUAUCAUCUCAACGAGAUCGCUGAAUCACCAGUUCGUUGUUCAAGGACGACGAUGACGGAGAUCGCCAUGAUCUCCGGCGACGCGCGACCUCGUCACCACCGGAGUUGUCGCGAGUUCGAGCAACGACAGCGGCGGAGAUUGCUGUUAUCUUCGUGAUCUGUAACGGAGAUCGCAAAUCGAGGUCGUCAUCUCACAAAUCGAGGCGUUACGCCGCCAUUGCAAAGCUCAGAUCUGCUUUGUCUCCAUCAGAAUUAGACCGAAGAUUCUCCGGCGUCAGAUCUGCUCUCUCCUCCCCUCCCGAAGUCUAGUCUGUAGUCUCCUCCGCCGUCCGAAGCUCAGAUAUCACAAAUGGAGGAUGGCGCCGAUCUGGUUCAGCCACUCCGGUCACCUUCAUCGCCGAAAUCGUCACCAUCAGAUUCUUUCUCUCUCCGAUCUUUGAUGGCAGUGUUCCUCUUCACUUUUUUCGGUGAUUUUGGUUUUGUCUGGGUUUGUGAACCGAGCAUCAUUUUUGCAGAGUUUUGUUGAGUAUUUUGCUAAUUUAGUCGUUUGAUUGUUUCCCUGAAAAAUGAUGUUUAGUUUCUGAUUUUGGACUUUUUUUCUUUUCAGAGAAAUGUUGUUUGUUUUUCGGCCACGAUGAUGGCAGAUUUACCGUUGCUUUAUAUUUGGCCGA